UCUAUUGAACCCUCUACAUCUUUGGCUGUCCCAUCUACCAGCUAUGCUGACCCAGUGGCCCUACGUCGCUCCAGACGUCCAACUGCUGGUCAACAUACUAAUGUGCACCAUCUCCCACGGCCAGCAGGAGACAUUCAUCUUGGGGGCUCUUCUGCAUCUUUGUCAACUCAGUCAGCGUUGUUUAGACCUUGGAACUGAUUUUAUUAGUUUUGAAUCAGCCAUCGUCGGGUCGACGAUGCAAGAAGGGGGGGUAGAAUGUAGUGGUAUAGAAAUAUAUGUAUUGCUAUACAAAUAGCUUUCAGGUGCGAGGUUCAGGUUGGGCAAAGUGGGCGUGGUAUAUAAGAAGCCGCUGCGCCCAAUCGGACACACGUCUUCCUCAAGCUUUGGCUGUGACUCGCGUCUCAGGGACUGACAGUCGAAAGGCAUGACAUCAGGUGCAUGCUGCUCUGAUCUUGCUGGCAAAACGCUACUGUGCGGCUCUCCUCCUCGUCGUCGGUUUGUGUGUGUGUGCGCAUAGAUGAGUUUGUCUGGAUUGGGAGGUCUCCCCAUAUUACCAUUGCUGCUCUGUUGAUAUUCCGGAUUCUGCGCAUCAUCAACCUCGGAUUGUGGUGGCGGCUGCACGCCCUAAUUGAAGUGGUGUUUGGCGUGCGGCAGUGGCGUGCGGCACCGGCGCGCUCCGUUCACCUCCUAUUGUUGUGUGGCCAGAGGGUCGCACUGGAUUCGGAUAUUUUAAUUUGUUUUUCUUUAUUUUUGUCCCAGCCUGUUGGUGUGGUAUAACUAUUUAUAUAUUUAGGUUGAUAUUGUUUUCUUUUUGUUGUACAUUUUGGCUCGUUGUCUGUAUUAAUUGUUUUUUUUUUCUCUCUCUCUGCUGACAGUGCUGAGGCCCGGCGGCGGUGUUGGUGUGGUGACGGUGUCUUCUUUUUUUUUUGUGUGCCGUGAUUCCUGAGUUUGGGUCUUCUCACUGCGUCUGGUGCUUUACAGGGGUUUUGUUUGCUGUGUUUGGGUGGAUCCCGUCCUGUGGUGGCCCCCUUCCGCCGGUAACCUCAGCUACUGUAGUUACUUUUCUUUUUUUCUCUUUAGUGUUAUAAAGAAUUGGUUUUAAAAAGAAUAUUUUAAGAAGCCUCUAAUAAAAAGCUGUUUGUACAUUUUAAAGUUGUCUCAGAUGUCUUAAUCCAUGCAUGAGCGAACUUGUGUGUCCUAUCAAAAAGGGGAGUAAUAUUCCUUGGGUGAAAUUCCCAAGGUGGCGUUGUGGAGCAAUUUUAUUUGGGUUCAGAAAUUUAUAAUUUCCCGAUUUC